CUCCUCACUCUCACUCCUGUCUCUCCGAAGUCAAGCCGUGAGUUUUUGUCAGAAAGGAACAAGUGAUCUAGCUUUCUCCUUUCCUCCCUUUCUCUCUGUCUCCCUCCCUUCCAUCUCUCUCUCUCUCUCGCUCUCUCUCUCUCCCUCCCUCUCCCUCCCUUUCUCCCUCCCUCCCUAUCUCUCUCCCUCCCUCCCUAUCUCUCUCCCUCCCUCCUUCUCCCCCUCUCUCUCCCUCCCUCCCUCUGCUCAACAUUCCUCUUUCUCCUGUCCGAUCACUCCUCUCUCUCUCUCUCUCUCUCUCUCUCUCUCUCUCUCUCUGGUUCACACCCUCCUCUCCUCUCCUCUCCCGAUCAGUCUCUAUGUGAAGGGAGUUCCGUAUGGUUACAGACUCGGCUGGUGGAAGAAGUCAAAGCAAGGCAGGUAGUAAAAUGGAUUGGUGUCAGUCCGAGCGAUGGAAAGAGCAGAAAGCGGAAGAGAGCAGAACCCAAAGAAAACUUCAAAGAGUGCCUAGGUGAUGCCGGAGCAGCUGGUGUUGCUAUUGGAGCUUCUGCUGACGGAGGCAGAGCUAAGUGUGACGUCAUUGCAUACAAUCCAGAGAACCUAUGAUGUACAGAACAAGGACGCUGAGGUGAGGCGUUGCUGGUGUGAGCUGCUGGCCAAACACAAACACUCUCAGGCUUAUGGAGAUGUGGAGCACUUCCUCAUUCACCACUAGGCCAUGGGUGUUAAUCUGUAUGGGGAGCUGAUGGUUCAGGAGGACUCUAGGCAGCAGGCUCUGGCCAGGCGCUAUCUCUCAUUGGUCCAGGAUGAGAAGGACCAAUCAGCUCGCAGAGUGGUGGAGGAGAUGGUCGUAUGAACUGGCACACAACUGGUACUGACCCGCCUUCUCAUAACUAUAGGCUGUCCAGCUGCCCGCCUUGGGACAUGAGAGGGAGAGGAAAAGCUGAGGAGUCACAAGGAAGUAAUGCUCUCACUACUUCCUCUCCAGACAGGAAGACAGAACCAGAAUCCAACUUCUAUAUGGCUUCAUGUCCUUAUUUCUUUUCCUGCGUAAUCACUGAAGUGAAAGCAAAGAUGGUGGAUAAACAAAGAUGUCCCAUUUAGGAUGUUUACCAAACAAAUUGUCAGUUCCGGUCUGCGUAACGGGGUGGCUCUCCCAUAGGCACCAAUGUAUUAUCAGCUGGGUCUGGUCUGCUUAGUUAAUUGACUGUAUAUGAACCAGAGAAAAGUAGGGACUGGGAUGUCUUGCUUUCUCUUCAGUCUUUGAUUGAACCUGGUCAGAAAUAUUACACUAUACACUCAGUGGCUAGUUUAUUAGUUACACACAUCUAGUACCGGGUCGGAACCCCUUUGCCUCCAGAACUGCCUUAAUUCUUUGGGGGAUGGAUUCUAUGUUCAGAUACAGUUUGGCAUUCAAACGUUGCUCAAUUGGACUCAAGGGUCUUAACGUGUGCCAGCAAAACAUUCCCCACUGCCACCAGCCUGUACCAUUGAGACCAGGCAGGAUGGGGCCAUGGACUCAUGCUGCUUACGCCAAAUCCUUGCUCACCACUGUUGUACUACACCUUUAUUUGCUUGAUUGUGGCCCUCCUGUUAGCUUGCACGAUUCUUUCCAUUCUUCUUUUACCUCAACGAGCUGUUUUCGACCACAGGACUGCCGCAGACUGGGUGUUUUUUGUUUGUCACCCUAUUCUCUGUAGGAAAAGCCCAGGAGGCCACCCGUUUCUGAGAUACUGGAACCGGCGCGCCUGGCACUUGACGAUCAUACCACACUCAAAGUUGCAUAGGUCACUCGUUUUGCCCAUUUUAACGUUCAAUCAAACAGUAACUGAAUGCCUUGAUGUCUGCUUUAUAUAGCAAGCCACAACCCUGUGACUCAACUGUCUGUAGGAGGGCGAACCAUUUUCGUGAACAGGGUAGUGCACCUAAUAAACUGUCCACUGAGUGUAUAGUACACUAUAUUGGGAUGCCCACAGCUAUGGAGUGAGAACCUAUCCAGUUCUUUUCUCCAUGGGUGCUCCAAAUAGUGAGGUAUUUUUGGGACACAGAUUGGUCGUUCCACGAAAUGAGUCCCUUUUGGGUAGUGUACUCACAUCAUUUUAACAUUCUGUCAUAAAGAGCACAUGUCCAACUUAAUACAAAAUAUGUUUUCCAUUGCAAGAGUUUCAAUUUAAAAAAAUACAAUAGUAUGUACCCAUUAAGUGCAAAAUAAAGUAACAGGGUUGACUGUAACAGGGUUGACAUUUUAAAUAUUAAAUCAGCAAUAAAUCCCCUUCUGAAAGGAGGAAUGGAAGCUUUUUUAAAUGCCUUAUAAUGAAUUGCUAAUCACAUUAAAUAAAUAAUAAUCUCCAGAAAUGACUUUGCCAAAGCAACAAAAAUAACUAGGGCCGCAUUCACAUGCUCAUCGGAACUUCCUAUUUCCUAGUUGUGAUGUCAACUUUGUUUCAUUCAUGUGCUUUUUGGUCAGAACAAAUUCUUCAACCAAUAUGAUUUUAGCUAGCUUGAUAAUGUUAAUAUUUAUAAAGUUACCUAGCUUGCUUAACGUUGAUGAUAUGGUCAAAUUAGCUAAAUUGUCCAUAUUUAUAAGGUUGCAAUCUUUUGGUUGAAAAGGUAAGUGGUGAAACGUCACCACUCGGCAACUAUAUUUUUCAGGCGGAACUAGGAAUUUCCGAUAACUCUGAUACCACGUGAAUGCGAGCUUUUCAAUGAUGGUGAAAAUGUGGAGGAACUUUGGGGUUAAAAGAUUCAACUCCAGAGGGUGCACAGAGGAACAUGCCAAAAUUCAGCAUUUUGUCACUUUAGCAAACUAAAAAACAGUUUUACUUCAGUUGACAUGCGGUCUAUAUUAAAGGGCACUUCAUUUAAUAUAACAUGCUUUUAAAAUUCUUAAUCAAAUCAAAUGUAUUUAUUUAUAGCCCUUCUUACAACAGCUGAUAUCUCAAAGUGCUGUACAGAAACCCAGCCUAAAACCCCAAACAGCAAGCAAUGCAGGUGUAGAAGCACAAUUGGUGAACAAUUUCUACUUAAAAUGUCAAAGGGAUGCAAAAGAGACUAAUUUUGUGGAAUGACCCAGAUAGUAGAUGGAGAAAGACAGACCAGAGUGUGCAAAGCCAGACCAUCAUGGUAAAUUCCCCUAGAGCUGCUCAGUGUGUUUAGUCUGUGGCUGGGAUCUGCUCUAAGAGUUUACAUGGGAAAUACCACCAUGAAACGUAUGUUUUCAUACUAUUCACCUUACCUCACUAACUCUAACUCUGUAAUCAAGGGUUCUCAAAAAUAUAGGAAUCAAAGAGAAAUCCUAUUCUCAUGGCAUUUGUAAACAUGAAAUGUGGUCUUUUUAAUAAAGUGCUGGCUAGGUUGACAAGACAUUUAUUUUCCUCAGGAAAUGAGUCUUGUGACGAAUAUUUUCUACACUUGAUCAUGUGGAUCUGUCAAUAAAAAACAUUGUAAAACAA